GGGCCCUCCCCUUUCCGCGGGAGGCGUCCGGUACAGCGGCUUGGUGGCGCGCAGUUCCCGCUGACUGUGCGCGCCCCCCUCUUGGCUCCUUUGCAGAGGACUCGGUAGCUGCAGCCCCCAGAGCACAGCGGGCAGAGCUGCAGGCUGCGUGCGCCCCUGCUGCCCCGGGCCUCCAGCGGUGGCUCCCGCGCCCCGCGGCGACUUCCGCGCCCGCGCUUCCCUUUGUUCCCCGAGCGGCGGCGGUGUCGGAGCCCGCGUCCUGGGCGACUGAGGCGGCCGCAGUCCGCGCCCUGGCGCCCUGGAGCCCUGGCGAUGCCCGACCAGAUCUCUGUGUCGGAAUUCGUGGCCGAGGCCCUUGAGGACUACAUGGCACCCACGGCCUCUAGCUUCACCACGCGCACGGCCCAGUGCCGGAACACCGUGGCAGCCAUCGAGGAGGAUGCAGUGACUUAUGAUGAUGUGCAUGUGAACUUCACUGGGGAAGAGUGGAAUUUGCUGGAUCCUUCCCAGAAGAGUCUCUACAAAGAUGUAAUGCUGGAGACCUACUGGAACCUCACUGUUAUAGGCUACACUUGGGAAAACCAUCAUAUUGAAAGACAUUGUCAAAGUUCAAGAAGAAAUGAAAGGUUCAGUCUCCACUGCCAGCUGCCAUGGGCAAGCAGAACAGCAAGCUGGGUCCUGAGGUGCUGCAGGAUCUGCGGAAACACAGGGAGUUCACUGACUAUGAGCUUCAGGAGUGGUACAAGGGCUUCCUCAAUGACUGUCCCACUGGCCACCUGACUGUGGACAAUUUCAAGAUCUAGGCCAACUUCUUCCCCUACAGAGACGCCUCCAAGUUCGCUGAACAUGUCUUCCACACCAAUGACACCAACAGUGACAGCUCCAUCGACUUCCAAGUGUUCAUCAUUGCUCUGAGCAUGACCUCUCAGGACAAGCUGGAACAGAAGGUCAAGUGGGCCUUCAGCAUGUCUGACCUAGACAGCAAUGGCUACAUCAGCUGCAGUGAAAUGCUGGAGAUAGUGCAGGUACCUGCACUUGACAGGGCCUGGCGCAUGGGGAGUGCAAUGAUCCAGGACCCCCAUCCCCGGCCCCGUACACCAGGACAUUCCUCUACCCACUGCUGCCUGGUGUAUGGUGUACUAAAGGACUGCAUCUUUGCAGAGAGUAACAAUAAAAACCAUGCAUCUAUCAAUUGCUUGCUGGACAUCCGGCCCCAGCUGAGCUCAUCCAUCAGGUUUAUUCACACAAUUCUAUAAAAUGGGUCUUUUUUUAUUUUCAACCUCUAAUGAGAUCUGAGGCUCAGAUAGGUGAUUAAGAAUUGUCAAAGCAAGAAGUGGAAAAUGUCUCAGUGGGGAAGAACACUUGAUACCCAGCAUGAGGACCUGAGUUCUGAUCCCAACACCCAUGGAAGAGUCAGGAGUGGCUGAGCAUGCCCGAAUCCCUAGAACUAGGGGACAAGUGAGUCCCAGAAGCUUGCUGAGCAGGCAGCCUACCUACAAUGGCCAUCUACAAGAUGGUGUCCUUCGUGAUGAAGAUGCCUGAGGACGAGUCCAUGCCCGAGAAUCGAACCGACAAGAUCUUCAGGCAGAUGGACACAAACAAUGAAGGUUUAGUCUCCACUGCCAGCUGCCAUGGACAAGCAGAACAGCAAGCUGCGUCCUGAGGUGCUGCAGGACCUGCAGAAUCACAAGGAGUUCACCGACCAUGAGCUUCAGGAGUGGUGCAUGGGCUUCCUCAAUGACUGUCCCACUGGCCACCUGACUGUGGACAAUUUCAAGAUCCAGCCCAACUUCUUCCCCUACAGAGAUGCCUCCAAGCUCACUGAACAUGUCUUCCAUACCUUUGACACCAACAGUGACAGCACUAUCAACUCCCCAGUGUUCAUCAUUGCUGUGAGCAUGACCUCUUGGGGCAAGCUCGAGCAGAAGGUCAAGUGGGCCUUCAGCAUGUCUGACCUAGACAGCAAUGGCUACAUCAGCUGCAGUGAAAUGCUGGAGAUAGUGCAGGUACCUGCACUUGACAGGGCCUGGAGCAUGGGGAGUGCAGGGAUCCAGGACCCCCAUCCCCGGCCCCAUACACCAGGCCAGGUCAUUCCUCUGCCCACUUGCUACCUGGUGUACUAAAGGACUGCAUGUCUUUGCAGAGAAUAACAUAAAAGCCAAGCAUCUAUCGAUUGCUUGCUGGACAUCCAGCCCCAGCUGAGCUCAUCCAUCACACAUUUCUAUCAAAUGGGUCUUUUUUUUAAACUUCUAAUGAGAUCUGAGGCUCAGAUAGGUGAUUAAGAAUUGUCAAAGUGGCCAGGCAUGGUGGUGCAUGCCUUUAAUCCCAGCACUCGGGAGGCAGAGGCAGGUGGAUUUCUGAGUUUGUGGCCAGCCUGGUCUACAAAGUGAGUGCCAGCAUCUGCCAGGACUACACAGAGAAACCCUGUAUCGAGAAACAAACAAACAAACAAACAAAAAAAGAAUUGUCAAAGCAAGAACUGGGAAAAUGGCUCAGUUGGGAUGAACACUUGAUACUCAGCAUGACGACCUAAGUUCUAAUCCCAAUACCCACAGAAAAGCCAGGAGUGGCUGAGCAUGCCCAAAACCCUAGAACUAGGGGAUAAGUGAGUCCCAGAAGCUUGCUGAGCAGGCAGCCUAGCUACAAUGGUAAGCCCCGGCCUGGUUCAGUGAGAGAGAAAAGGGAACAUUGUGAACACUGGGAUUCCUGUUUGGCCUCUGCACAGGUGGGUGUUCAUCUGCACACACAUGUAUAGCAUACACACACAUUAGCUGUCUGUAGGGCUUCCUAUAGAAAUCAGAACGACACAGUAAAGGAUGAGUCAGCAGUCAGUUCUUCACAGGAGUGAUGCUUAUGUGCACCCUGCAUCCUUCCUGCUCCAUGCUCUAAACCAUCUCUGUAUUUGGUCCAGUAAGCUGACUCUGUGGGUAAAGGUGCAUGCUACCAAGCCUGGCAGCCUGGGUUCGAUCCCUAAGACCCACAUGGUAGGAAAAGAGAACCAGCUUCCACAAGUUGUCCUCUGUAUUCCAUGUGAGAUCAUUUCUCCCAAAUAAAUAAUUACAUACAUCCAUAAAAUAAGUAAAGUAGUUAUAUACAGUGACUAAUACAAUGGCUAUAGAUGUUAAUAAUAAUUUGUAUUAUUUGGGAAAUAACAAGAAACUGUCUGUGUACCUCCAGUUUCAUUUUUUAGACUAUUUCCCACCUGUAGUUUGUUGAAUCUUCAGAUUCAGGACCCAUGGGUGGGCAGGGCUCAAUGUAUUUCCCCUUUGACCUUCCCUCCAGGAUUUCCCAGCUCCCACCAAAGAUCCUCCUUUCAGACAAACGCUUUCCCCAACAACCUCCCCUCUACUCUGAACCAAGGAGCCCUCCUUUCUUCCAUGCCCCAGCUGUAUCCUGUGUUCUUGAAUGUCACUUAAACUUUCCUGGCUCCCUUUGCCCAGCACCUUGUCUGUGAGACUUGUUCUGAUGAGAGAAGGGUCCUGACUUUGCCCUGUCCAUGCUUCUUGGUUAGCUGAGCAAGGACCAUAACCCACCCUCUGUCCUCCAGAGCACACUCACAGAUGCCCCUUUGCAGGCCAUCUACAAGAUGAAGAUGCCUGAGGACGAGUCCAUGCCCUAGAAGUGAACAGAUGAGAUCUUCAGGAAGAUGGACACAAACAAUGAAGGCAAAAUGUCCCUGGAAGAAUUCAACAAAGGUGCCAAGAGGAAUCCAUCCAUUGUCCGGUUGCUGCAGUGAGAUCCCAGCAGUGCUAGCCAGUUCUGAGUGGAAUGGGCUUUACACAGUUGUGUGAAACACAGGCUUGACCUGCCAUCUUCAGCUUUGCUUGCAAAAGUGGACUUCUCCGUGAUUUCUCCUGCUCUCUCAGGACCUGGGUCCAGGCAGCACAUCACACUCACCUGGUCUGGCUGGAUGCAGCUCCCUCCUCUAUUUGAUCCCAUAGAUGUCCCUCCUCCUUCAGUCCAGGCUGGCUCCUUCUAAUGGUUCAAGUGUUCUCAGCUGUAUGCCUCUUUCCCUGCCCACAGAGGGCCUGGAAGCCCUUAAGGACACCAGACAGGACUUUUCAGUAUCUUACCAAGACCAGCUGAUUUAUUCUAUGUUCCCAGGUGACUUUGUGAGGAUGAAGAAGAUAGACAGUAUAUAGGCAAACCCUUCCUAUUCAUGGCUCCACCUCCCUUGUUCAUUUUCUCUGACCAAAGCUGCUUUAAUGUAUAUACCGUGGUAUCCUUACUUUUAAUAUAUAAGUUUUGUAUAAAGUGAGGUCUAGCCCCUCUUUUUAUUUUAUUUUAUUUUUUAAUUUUUAUUGGUUUCUUUUCCGCUCAAGUACACUUUAGAAAUAACAUUUAGACACAGGCACGUGCACGCACACACACACACAUUUACAUGCUCACACGUGCACAUAUACAGACACACAGACACAGACACACAGCCGCACUGCUUCUCUCAUGAAGGGCUUUCCCUUGCUUCCUUUAGUUGCUUUAUAUAAAAUGCAAAGCUUUCAGGGGGCUCGGGGAAGGGGACUGGUUCCCUGACAUCCUUGAGCAAAGAUGCAUAGCACUUGAGAACACGUCAUCCAGUUUCAAAUUCUUUAGCCCCUCUUUUUAAAGCUUCUGACUGCCUUUAAAGCAUGGUCCCCUGUGGCCUGUGAUUCUCCCCACCCCCAAGUCUGGCUGUUGUGUGGUAUUUAUGUAUUCAUUUGCCUAAUUACACAGGAGAUACAUGCAUGCCCAAGGCUGUGUAUAUCUGCCCUCCAUCCUGCAAAUACAGGUGUUCCUGUGUGCUCCAUCCUUCCUUUCUAUUGGUCUGGCAUAUUAAAAUUAUCAAAUAAA